UACCAGCACCCCGAGUGGUCGGGACGUUUAUUGGGCCUAAAGCAUCCGUAGCCGGUUCUACAAGUCUUCCGUUAAAUCCACCUGCUUAACAGAUGGGCUGCGGAGGAUACUACAGAGCUAGGAGGCGGGAGAGGCAAGCGGUACUUAGUGGGUAGGGGUAAAAUCCGUUGAUCCAUUGAAGACCACCAGUGGCGAAGGCGGCUUGCCAGAACGCACUCGACGGUGAGGGAUGAAAGCUGGGGGAGCAAACCGG
rnacentral:rRNA from 1 species